rnacentral:rRNA from 1 species
UACGUAGGGUGCAAGCGUUGUCCGGAAUUAUUGGGCGUAAAGAGCUCGUAGGCGGUUUGUCGCGUCUGCUGUGAAAACCCGAGGCUCAACCUCGGGCCUGCAGUGGGUACGGGCAGACUAGAGUGCGGUAGGGGAGAUUGGAAUUCCUGGUGUAGCGGUGGAAUGCGCAGAUAUCAGGAGGAACACCGAUGGCGAAGGCAGGUAUCUCGGGCCGAUACUGACGCUGAGGAGCGAAAGCAUGGGGAGCGAACAGG